CCAAUUUCUGUCCACUACAUGGUGAAUGUGAUCUAGACUCUGUUUUUAAAUAAAGGUUGGAGGCUGGCACAUUUGUUUUGUGGUGUACAGAUUAAAAAGG
rnacentral:ncRNA from 2 species